UGACCAGCGACGCCGCGUGCAUGAAGAAGGUCUUCGGAUUGUAAACUGCUGUCGUUAGGGACGAUGUGACGUAGACUGAAACGCUACAUGGAGGGAUGUACCCUUAAUAAAACGCCCCGGCUAUCAACGUGCCAGCACCCAA
rnacentral:rRNA from 1 species